rnacentral:siRNA from 1 species
UCCAUGGAGCCGGAUGCUUGUC